UUAUUAGAAGCCGAAAGGCUACUUAAAACCAUCGCGAACUCGUCCAAGUUGCUUCGGCGGCGCGGCCUCCCUCACGGGGGCGCCGCAGCCCCGCCUCUCCGGAGGUGUGGGGCGCCCGCCGGAGGUACGAAACUCUGUAUUAUAGUGGCAUCUCUGAGUAAAAAACAAAUAAGUUAAAACUUUCAACAACGGAUCUCUUGGUUCUGGCAUCGAUGAAGAACGCAGCGAAAUGCGAUAAGUAAUGUGAAUUGCAGAAUUCAGUGAAUCAUCGAAUCUUUGAACGCACAUUGCGCCCGCUAGUACUCUAGCGGGCAUGCCUGUUCGAGCGUCAUUUCAACCCUCAAGCCCUGCUUGGUGUUGGGGCCCUACGGCUGCCGUAGGCCCUGAAAGGAAGUGGCGGGCUCGCUACAACUCCGAGCGUAGUAAUUCAUUAUCUCGCUAGGGACGUUGCGGCGCGCUCCUGCCGUUAAAGACCAUCUUUAACUCAAGGUUGACCUCGGAUCAGGUAGGAAUACCCGCUGAACUUAAGCAUAUCAAUAACCGGAGGAAC
rnacentral:rRNA from 1 species